GCCAGGCACUGUGGCACAUGCCUGUAUUCCCAGCAGCCCAGGAGGCUGAGGCAGGAGGAUCUCAAGUUCAAGGCCAGACUUAGUCAUGGUGAGGCACUAAGCAACUCAGAGAGACCCUGUCUCUA
rnacentral:sRNA from 1 species